rnacentral:tRNA from 2 species
AGAAGCUUAGGAUUAAGCUUAUUAACCGGUGGCUUUCAACACCACAAAAAAGGGUAAACCCUUAGCUUCUG